AUAUGUAUUUUGUGUUGAUCAUGUACUUUGAACUUUGAUUGAGGAACAUUGUAUUUGUUUUGUUUUGGCAUUAUUGUACUACAAUGUUCCAUUUUGAUCAAUGAAACUGAAAUGUUUGUUAAUUAUUGUGUUUAUUCCCAUUCACCUAUUUGAUGAUAACAAAAAGGGGGAGAAGCAAGGAAAGAGAAAUAAGUUGAGCAAGGAAAGAGAAAUAAGUUGACAAACAAGUUGAAAAUUAUAAUAGGAAAGCAUAUACAUUUAAGGGGGAGCAAUUUGUAACAAUGAAAAUGUUAAAGUCUAGAAUUUAAAUCGAAUUUCAGAAUUUGGCACAUACAAUUUCAGAAUUUGGCACAUACAAUUUCAGAAUUUGGCACAUAAUCUGAAACUCAUGCUUUAUCUCAAAUUUUUGAAGUUUCAUCUUUAAUGAAAUAUAAAAGAAAGGGGGAGUAAUUCAAAAGGUCAAAUUAGAAACAUUUGGAUGAAAUAGGGGGAGACUUCACUCUCAAAUUUGAAAAGCUGAAAUUCAGCAACUUGAGCCCUUUUAAAACUAAUUUUAAGAUAAGUAUCAAUAGGCUCAUACUCUAUAUUUUGUAAUCAUUAAAAAGGGGGAGAUUGAGGAUGAUAGUGGUAUUUUGAUGAUUAAUACAAUAAUCAAGAGUAUGUUACAAGUUAAUUCGAUACAUCAUUUAUAAGUCUGUUACUCUCAGUACAUUAGUAUAAUAAGAUAAAGAUGCAUUUCAUU
rnacentral:lncRNA from 1 species